rnacentral:piRNA from 1 species
UGGGAAAGGUAUUCUAGGUGCCUUUGGUUU